GACGAACCGAGCGAACGUUAUUCGGAAUCACUGGGCUUAAAGGGCGCGUAGGCGGGCUGCCAAGUCAAGGGUGAAAGCCCCCGGCUCAACCGGGGAAGUGCCUCUGAUACUGGCGGCCUCGAGGGAGGUAGGGGCGUGCGGAACUUCCGGUGGAGCGGUGAAAUGCGUUGAGAUCGGCAGGAACUCCGAUGGCGAAAGCAAGGUCCUGGACUCCCACUGACGUUGAGGCGCGAAAGCCAGGGUAGCGAACGGG
rnacentral:rRNA from 1 species